rnacentral:rRNA from 1 species
UACAGAGGAGCCAAGCGUUGUCCGGAUUGACUGGGCGUAAAGCGCACGCAGGCGGAUGCGCGCGUGGGGUGUGAAAUCUGGCCGCUUAACGGCCAGGCGCCAUCCCAUACGGCGUGUCUGGAGGGCUGCAGAGGUCGAUGGAAUUGCCGGUGUAGUGGUGAAAUGCGUAGAGAUCGGCAGGAACACCCAGGGGGGAAACCAGUCGACUGGGCAGCACCUGACGCUGAGGUGCGAGAGCGGUGGGGAGCGAACCGG